rnacentral:tRNA from 1 species
GCCUCCUUAGCUCAGUCGGUAGAGCAUCUCACUCGUAAUGAGAAGGUCGCGAGUUCGAUUCUCGCAGGUGGCU